rnacentral:rRNA from 1 species
UCGGUUUUGGAUGGACUCGCGGCCUAUCAGCUUGUUGGUGAGGUAAUGGCUCACCAAGGCGACGACGGGUAGCCGGCCUGAGAGGGUGACCGGCCACACUGGGACUGAGACACGGCCCAGACUCCUACGGGAGGCAGCAGUGGGGAAUAUUGCACAAUGGGCGAAAGCCUGAUGCAGCGACGCCGCGUGAGGGAUGACGGCCUUCGGGUUGUAAACCUCUUUCAGUAGGGAAGAAGCGAAAGUGACGGUACCUGCAGAAGAAGCACCGGCUAACUACGUGCCAGCAGCCGCGGUAAUACGUAGGGUGCGAGCGUUAUCCGGAAUUAUUGGGCGUAAAGAGCUCGUAGGCGGUUUGUCGCGUCUGUCGUGAAAGUCCGGGGCUUAACCCCGGAUCUGCGGUGGGUACGGGCAGACUAGAGUGCAGUAGGGGAGACUGGAAUUCCUGGUGUAGCGGUGGAAUGCGCAGAUAUCAGGAGGAACCCCGAUGGCGAAGGCAGGUCUCUGGGCUGUAACUGACGCUGAGGAGCGAAAGCAUGGGGAGCGAACAGGAUUAGAUACCCUGGUAGUCCAUGCCGUAAACGUUGGGCACUAGGUGUGGGG